ensembl:snRNA U6 U6 spliceosomal RNA
GUGCUUGCUUCGGCAGCACAUAUACUAAGAUCGGAAUGAUACAGAGAUUAGCAUGGCCCCUGUGCAAGGAUGACAUGCAAAUUCAUGAAGUGUUCUGUAUUUUG